UACGUAGGGAGCAAGCGUUGUCCGGAAUCAUUGGGCGUAAAGCGCGCGUAGGCGGCCCCGUAAGUCCGCUGUGAAAGUCAAAGGCUCAACCUUUGAAAGCCGGUGGAUACUGUGGGGCUAGAGUACGGAAGAGGCGAGUGGAAUUCCUGGUGUAGCGGUGAAAUUCGUAGAUAUUGGGAAGAACACCGGUGGCGAAGGCGGCCAACUGGACCACAACUGACGCUGAGGCGCGAAAGCGUGGGGAGCAAACAGG
rnacentral:rRNA from 1 species